AUGGAGAUACCGGACGUGGUGCUCGCCGACGUUCUCCUACGCGUGCUCCAACCGCAGCACCUCGCCGCGUGCAGACGCGUAUGCGCCAACUGGCGCCGUGUCAUCGACGGCCACAAGCUGCUUCUCCCGCACCUCCUGCCGGCGGCUCCGCGCGGCAUAUUCAUCAACUACACAGCCAGAGACGGGUGGAGCGACGUCGGCUACUUCUCCCGGGGGAUCCUCGACGGUACCAUCGACACACGUCUCGGCUUUGCGCCGCUGUGGAACGCGGUCAUCGACCAUUGCAACGGCCUGCUGCUGUGCACGUCUGAAGAAACAUGCUUCGUCUACAACCCGGUGACUUGGCGAUCGGCGCAGCUGCGAGCUCCCCCCGGCGCCCAAGGGGCCAACUGGGGAAUCGGCUCCGCUGCCUACCUCGUGUUUGAUCCUGCCGUGUCUCUCCACUUCCAGGUGUUCCUACUCCCUGACCAGCUGCCCGAGAUGCCCGAGCCCCCUGUACCUGUCAAGUCGUCACCACCGCCGUUCAAUGUGGGAAGGCUCUUCAUGGCCGGAGCUGCAGAUGGCGAUUUGUGGCCCGAGGUCGACACCGACGACGACGACGGAGAGGAUUGGUUUAUGGAUUCACAAGAGGAUGAAACACGUCCGCAUUAUCAUUCGAGCGAGCAUUCUGAGGUGAGGGACGCAAUGGGCCUGAUGGAAUGGCCACCGCUGGUAUACGUGGUGCAGGUCUUCUCAUCUGUCACCGGACAGUGGUCGGAGAGGACUUUUGUACGGAAAAGUGACCCAGCAGGGACGGUGGCAGACAUGUGGCCGGAUUCCUCGUCAAUCAUUUUGGAUUGGUCACCUGCCACGGAUUGGUCACCUCGUGCGCAAAGUAAUUGGAGACCUCGCCGAAGAUACACCAUUUAUUGGCAGCAAUUUCUUUACAUCCAAUGCCGUGCUGGUUUCAUCAUGAGAUUCUCAGUUAUGACGGAGGAGUAUCAAGUGAUCCAAUCCCCAAGAAUUGUUAGCCCGUACAACUGGUGGGAAAAACCGAUAACGUAUCUAGGCAAGUCAAAGAAAGGGGUGUACUACACCGCAACCGACUACCUCAAACUCCGAGUAUGGCUAUUGACAGAAGAAACAGAGGCAUCUCGUGGGGCACUGCCGGUGUGGGCGAUGAUUCACAAUGCUGACCUCGAGCCUCCGUUGAGCCAACUCUCGCAUGAAAAUUGUGAAGAGAAGGACAAGUCGUGGAUCUUGGAUCAUGAAAAGGCUGUACAAACAGAACAAGGAUACCGAGAGUGGGACUCGGACAAUGAUGAUAGAUUUGUUUCUAAUGAUGAACAACAUGACGAUGAUGAUGAAAAUGAUGACUAUGCCGAUGGCGACUAUAUGACCAUGAGUUCAUUGGACUUGCUAGGAUACCAUCCUCACAAGGAGAUUAUCCUCUUGGGCAGUCGAGAAGUUGGCAAUGGUUGUGCGUUCGCUUAA
rnacentral:rRNA from 1 species